rnacentral:rRNA from 1 species
UACGUAGGGGGCAAGCGUUGUCCGGAAUCAUUGGGCGUAAAGCGCACGUAGGCGGCCCGGUAAGUCCGUUGUGAAAGUCAGAGGCUCAACCUCUGGAGGCCAAUGGAUACUGCCGGGCUAGAGUCCGGAAGAGGCGAGUGGAAUUCCUGGUGUAGCGGUGGAAUGCGCAGAUAUCAGGAGGAACACCAAUGGCGAAGGCAGCUCGCUGGGACGGUACUGACGCUGAGGAGCGAAAGCCAGGGGAGCAAACGGG